GGGGGCGUUUGGUUUUGACAGCGUAGAUCUUUGAAGGUAUAAGCAUGUCGGGCGUUGUGUAAUUAGCCCGUAAAUCUGAAUACUCAAACUAUAAAUGGCAAUACUCAGUAUGCCAUGGCUGCCUAAUCAGUGAUUAAGUAGUCAUUAGGGCCGCGUUGAGCCGGUUGUUCUGUUACCACGCUCCGCCGCCGACUUAACAAACAAAAACAGGAUGCUGCUACAGUAGGCUGUGCCGGUAGCAAAAGACUUAUACAGCUAAGCGUUUCAUUGGUUUGUCCUUUCCCGGUGCUGCGCCGACAAUUAAUAUAAGGAAUAAGCAUGUAGAAGGCCUUUGGAGGAUAUGUUUGGACAGGGGUUCGACUCCCCUCGCCUCCACAA
rnacentral:tmRNA from 1 species